rnacentral:rRNA from 1 species
UACGUAGGGUGCAAGCGUUGUCCGGAAUUAUUGGGCGUAAAGAGCUCGUAGGCGGUCUGUCGCGUCGGCUGUGAAAACCCGGGGCUCAACCCCGGGCCUGCAGUCGAUACGGGCAGACUAGAGUGCGGUAGGGAGACUGGAAUUCCUGGUGUAGCGGUGAAAUGCGCAGAUAUCAGGAGGAACACCGGUGGCGAAGGCGGGUCUCUGGGCCGGUACCGACGCUGAGGAGCGAAGCGUGGGAGCGAACAGG